rnacentral:rRNA from 1 species
UAUGUGAUCGUCUCUCGCAUAUCAAUAAGCGGAGGAAAAGAAACUAACAAGGAUUCCCUUAGUAACGGCGAGUGAAGCGGGAAGAGCUCAAAUUUGAAAUCUUCAAGGUCUUACCUUGACGAAUUGUAGUUUAAAGAAGUGUUUUCUGUUGAAGUUUUGGUAAAAGUUCUUUGGAAUAGGACAUCAUAGAGGGUGAGAAUCCCGUAUUUGACCAUUAUUUACAGCUGUGUGAUACACUUUCAAAGAGUCGGAUUGUUUGGGAAUGCAGUCCAAAAUGGGUGGUAAAUUUCAUCUAAAGCUAAAUAUUGGCGAGAGACCGAUAGCGAACAAGUACCGUGAGGGAAAGAUGAAAAGAACUUUGAAAAGAGAGUUAAACAGUACGUGAAAUUGUCAAAAGGGAAGCGUUUGACACCAGUGUUGUUUUCUCGAAAAUCAAUUAAAAAGAGUUUGAUUUUGUUGUGUAUUGACCUUAACAGCUUGCAUUUCAAUUUUCUUGCUUUUUUUAAUGCACUCUUCGUUUAACAAGUCAACAUCAGUUUCUUUUGUUGUAAAAAGGUCAUUGGAAGGUGGCUUUCUUUUCGGAGAAAGUGUUUAUAGCCUUUGACUCCUGCAAUCGGAGAGACUGAGGUCUGCAGCGUAGAUCCUUCGGGGUUAGAUACAUUUGUGCUAAGUUAUAGCUUUUUAUAGACAACUUGUUGACUAUGAUUAGUCUUGUAGCUUACUCGCUUAUGCUAUUUUACCUACGCUUAGGAUGUUGAAGAUGUAGCACAUCAU